rnacentral:misc_RNA from 1 species
UGGCCACUUCUUGAACCUGUG